AGGACGAUGAGUGGUCCCGCGCCACCCUGCACGGCCAUUACCUGCCGCAGGAUGAGGUGCUGCUGCGCCUGCGCCCGGUCGAUUCCGGCCCGUCCUACCA
rnacentral:tRNA from 1 species